ensembl:snoRNA
AUCCUUUUGUGGUUCAUAACCACAUGAAAAUUGGGGUUUUGUGAGAUAUACCUCUCUCAAACCUUGUUACUAUGUUGGCACAUUAUGCAUGUGGCC